CCAUCCUGAAUCCAAAUCAUUCGAUUUGUCGUUAUUGAGUCAAAGUAAUAACUUUUAGGGCGUUUUGUUUACAAACUCAAGGUCUCUUGAAUGUUUUGAACUGUCGUCGUUAAACUCCGCUGAUGACACUAUUAUAACAAACUUAAAGGUUUAAUGCUUUUUAGAUUGCUGUUUAUUAUCCUGGCGUUUCCAUCGUUUUUUGAAAUUUAAAAGACAUGAAUGUUUCCUUCAUUUUAGCAUUAGCAUUUCAACUGCAGCUGCUUUGUUUUGAUUUUUUAUCAUCAUUAUCCCUUCCUGGGUAUGACUCAAAAGUUGAUAAAAAACAGACUUCAGAAGUGUUGAACGCAAUUAUCAACGGGAUCAAUUCGCCGCCUCACCCGUUUUUUGUCACGCUUCAUAUCCUGGACUCUGUCAAGGGACUUUUCUGUGGGGGGACUUUAAUUGCAAACCAAUGGGUUCUAGCCUCGGCCAACUGCGUGAACAAAACUACAGUGGAUAACGUGUUUGUGGAAGUUGGCGAUUACAGUGCUGAAUCUGAACAAAGAUGCUUAGAACAAGUCAACGUCAAAAGAAUCUUCGUGCACCCUAGAUAUCACUACGAAGAAAAACCGAGGAAUAACUUGGCUCUACUUAAACUAGAGAAAAAUACCGAAAGAUCUUUACUUUCACUGUGCACUAAAAAACCUGAAGAUGGAACGCUUUUAGCAACCGUUGGACUCGGUUCAAUU